rfam:Schistosoma mansoni, Puerto Rico, WGS project CABG01000000 data, contig: 0034
GUACUGCUGAGGAGUCCCAUAAUAGGACUAAACGACCGUUCAGUGC